AGUCGUGGCUGGGUUUCGGGGAGGGCGCCCGGUGCGGGGGGCGCCCAGGGCCUGCGCACACGGGUAGGCCCGCGUGCCCAAGCCCCCUUGCAGCCCAGGCGCCCUGGCUCAUUAUCCAUCCCGGCCACUGGCGUUCGGUUCCGCUCCUGUCGCACCACCCCCUCACUGCUCUGACAGAUACCAGGAGCUGGUGCCAACCCGCAGACACACCUGGGCAGCCCCACGUGGGUAUCGCACGCGCAGGGGCACAUCUGCCCUGCCGGGUUUGGAGAGCAGUUGCAAGUCAGCCCCUGGAAUGUGGUCCCGUGCCGGCUGGAGCAAGAACUGUGUAACCUCUCUGAGCCUCAGAUAACUCAUCUGUUAAAUGGGGAGGAUGAUAGCAUCACUGGGUUGUUGUCAGGAUGAAAUAAGAUAGAGGCUAUAGGGGCGGGUGUGGUGGCUCACUCCUGUAAUACCAGCACUUUGGGAGGCCAAGGUGGGAGGAUCCCUUGAGCCCAGGAAGUCAAGGCUGCAGUGAGCCAAGAUCACGCCACUGCACUCCAGCCUGUGCGACAGUGUGAGACCUGGUCUCAAAAAAAAAAAAAAAAGGCUACAAAGUGUUAUAUCAGAGUCACUAGCACUCACCCAGUAAGUGAUAGCCAUGAAGAUUCUUAAAGAGAAGGGAACUGGGAGCUACAAAGCCAGCUGGGCUCACAGGCUGCAACUGGGGCAUGUCUGGGUUUCCGGCUUCUUUUUUCCUUCCCUGUAUCAUAUUUAUUUUUUCCUCAAUAUCACCCCUCAUCUUUCACCCAGGGCCUGCAAUAUUCCUUCGUUCAUUUGACACACAUCGGUUGAUAUUUGUGCCUGCUGUGAGGCAUUAAAAACUGCUUAUCUGGCUGUGUGGCACCCGGGAACUUUCCCCAGGCCACACCAGCUACACCUGUGGCCUCCUCAGCCUGGGUUGCUGCCCUGAGUCACUGGAGUAGGUCACUUCCUCUCUCAGUCCCUCCAUCUGUGCAAUAGGGAUAAGAGGCCUGGCUUCUCUCUAGUCUCCUGGGACUGUCAGGGGAUGAGUCAGAUAACGGUGGGGAAGGCGCAGAGAGGCAGAAAGCAGCUCUUACUAGAGCGGGGCCCAUCUGGCUGAUGCAAGGCUUGCACUUUGCAUGUAACCCCAGCCGGUACAAACAGGGAUGGCUCCGGGAAGCGUGAGGAGCAGGGGGAGCAGAGAAGUCCCCAACCCUACCCGACAGCCGGGGUGUGGGAUCCAGACUGGCAGCUUAGGAGUCUGAGCAGCUGGGGCUCUGUCCAGGCUCUGCUUCCCCAGCUCUGCGAGCAUGACAGCAGGUUCCUGACCCCUCUGAUCCGGCUGCCUUUUCUGUCACUCAGGGGCUCAGCAUAUUCCAUAGUCACCUCAGGCAGGGGGUUCUAGGGGCUCCUCCCAAAAGAGUCAGAGACCCCUGCACCCUCAGCCGACCCCAGGCA
rnacentral:lncRNA from 10 species